GUAACCCUUCCUGCGCCCCAGAACUCGCUCGCUGCCGGGGGAAACGCUGUGCGUGCGGGUGCAGGGCCUGCUGCCCGGGCCCCCUCGCGGGCCGCCAGCCUGGAGCGCCGGUGACGGCGGGCGGCCACCCGGACCUGGCCGCCCGCCCCGGGCUUCCGCCUUCCUUCCCUCCCGACUCCUCCGGCGGCUCCUCGCAGGGGCUCCGGGCCGGGCCGCGGGAGGCUGAGGAGAGCAGAGCGCCGCGCCGAGUGUUGAAAUUUUUAUGAAUGAACUUAGCCGAACGGCUUCCUCCCCUCGCGUGCGAGCUGAUAAAUCCGUGAAUGGAGCCGAGAAUAGCUGUCAUUGACUCGGCUCGGAGGUCCUCAGCUGUCGUCCAAUCGGGGGGCGGCUCGGUGACUCAUGCACUAUAAAUAUGCUCAACUAGUAGCGAGAUGAAGGCCGGAGGGAGAGAGUGCUCCUUCUGGAGGAGCAGGGAUGCUCCAGCCAGGCUGGGCCCAAAGGACACUCGGGUUCCUUCAAGAAGGUGCUGAGCCAAGGAAGGGGAGAGGAAGCGACAGGACAGCAUCUGAAGGCCACUGGGGCUUCCCCUGGGCCCAAGGCGCCGGCUUCUGCGAUUGUUCGUCCACUCAAACAUCAAGGCCCAAGCCUCAAGCAAGGGAAAGGCGGGGCCUGGACCUUGGGCUGCAUCCGGCUUGGACUCACAGCUAAGAGUCUGCCUGGAGCCUCAGAGGAGACUUUGGACUUAGACUUUUCAGCACCGACCGUGGCCCCAUGGAAUCAUUGGCAGGACUUAGGAAGAGGACAUGGCAGAGGUGCUGCUUGCUGACUUGCUGUUAGUAAGUGGGACCAGUGGGAAGAGGCAGGUCACUGAGGGUGUGGGCUGGAAGAGCGUCUCCCUCCCUGGCUCCUUCCUUCCCUCCACUUCCUGGCUGCCAUGAGGUGAGCAGCUGCUCUCCACCAGGCCCUUCCGCCAAGCCGCCUUUAUGUUUAAGCCUGCUCAACAUGGACUACAACUUCUGAAACUGUGAGCC
rnacentral:lncRNA from 1 species